GACGAACCGAGCGAACGUUAUUCGGAAUCACUGGGCUUAAAGGGCGCGUAGGCGGGCGAUCAAGUCAGGGGUGAAAGCCCCCAGCUCAACUGGGGAAGUGCCUCUGAUACUGGUCGCCUCGAGGGAGGUAGGGGCGUGCGGAACUUCCGGUGGAGCGGUGAAAUGCGUAGAUAUCGGAAGGAACACCGGUGGCGAAAGCGGCGCGCUGGACCUCUUCUGACGCUGAGGCGCGAAAGCCAGGGGAGCAAACGGG
rnacentral:rRNA from 1 species